rnacentral:rRNA from 1 species
UACGGAGGAUCCGAGCGUUAUCCGGAUUUAUUGGGUUUAAAGGGUGCGCAGGCGGGAGAUUAAGUCGGCGGUGAAAUUUUGCAGCUCAACUGUAAAAGUGCCUUCGAAACUGGUUUCCUUGAGUGUAGAUGAAGUAGGCGGAAUGCGUCGUGUAGCGGUGAAAUGCUUAGAUAUGACGCAGAACUCCGAUUGCGCAGGCAGCUUACUAAACUACUACUGACGCUCAGGCACGAAGGCGUGGGGAUCAAACAGGAUUAGAUACCCU